ensembl:lncRNA
CAUGAAUGAUAGAUACUAGAUAAAAUAAUAGAUAAAUGAUUAAGGAUACUAUCCACCAGAUCAAGGACUAGAAUGAAUGAGCUAAAUGUCCUUCAAACUACAUAGAAGCAAAGUAACCUGGGAUGAAAAAAAGACAAGUAAUCCGAAGUUUUCAUUUUUAAUAUUUUUAAUAAAGUCACAAAGCAAGAAAUAAUGGUAUCUGAAAAAUAUUAACAUGUUUCAUAUUUAUAUAAAUGGGUGGAAAAGGCAGCAAAAGAAUUCAUAGCGUAUGUCCUUGGUUUUUCCAAUAUGAUCUAACAGUAAGUAGUUUUAAAUGAAAAUUUUUAAGAUGGACCGUAUGGAUGUUGAAGUAGCAUUACACUGCAGUGAGGGUCACCUUUGCUGCAGAGUCCGACAUUCAGUGAUUCAUUCCACAUUUAGCUGUGUGUGGCACUUAGCCUCUCUAUGCCUGUGUGCUCAGUUGCAUUUUCCCACAAAAUGGAGAUAUAAUGGUGUCACCUCAAAGGGUUGUUGCAAUAGUUAAGUGUGAUAAUCCAGUAAAAUCUUGGCACAGUGCUGGCCACCUAGUAAGCACUUAAUAAAUACCAGUUAUUGUUGCUGAUGUUGCUAAUAUCUGCCUACCUUUAAUUUUCACUCAUGCUGGUGGAGACUGGAUUUGAUGCCCUACUAAUAGAAAUUUUGUUUUUAUGUUAGCCCUGCUAUCGGAAGAGUGGGAGGGGGGCUCUAGAGAGCAGAAACUAACACAUCAUUGUAAAGCUUUAUACUCCAAUUUAAAAAGAAGUAAAUAAAUAAAUAAAUCUGAGGUCUAGUUGUGGCUCCAUCAUUUACCAGAUAUGUAGCCUUGGACGAAUCUCUUCAUCAGUUUUACCAACUGUAAAAUGGAAAUAAUAAUUUAUGUUCUACCCUGUCUAUCCCUGAUACUCAGGCCAGAUGAGAUAACAUAGUUAUGUUUUGCUUCUUUGAUGUAAAGUGUUAUUCACAUAUAGAAUCUGAUGGUGGUGAUUAUGACGAUGAUGGCUUUGGGAUUCAGGAUACCAUUAGAAUACAAAGAAUACAGUAUUCAGACCUGACGAGGCCAGAUUACAGGUGACCAUUUCUGACUAUCACAUCACCGCCUCCAACUUCAUGAUGACACGUCUCUCAAUAAAUAAGGAGACAGAGAGGCAGACAGAAAGAAAAAGAGAGAAAUUAAUACUCAGACCCAAUUAGAUAUCCUGAUCUAUUAUUAUUACUCUUAUAUUAUUAACUGUUAUUACUAUGUUAUCAUUCUUGAUCUAAAUCCUUUCUUAAAGAGGAAAAUGAAAGUCAUUGUUUAGCCAGAACCCAGAUCUCAAGACAGAACCACAUUCUUUCCUCUAAAAUAGUAAGUUACAUAUUGAGAUACAUUUACUUUAUAAAGCAGGGUAUGAAAUUCCAUAAACAGAAAUAUCCCCUCUAUAUUUAAAUUACAGAGGGAAAACUAGAAGAAAAUACUUCAAUUACUAUUUCUCUGAAUUUUAAAUUUCUACAAGUAUAAGUUAAUUUUAACAAAAAAAGUGAGUUAAAGUAUCUUAAAAUAUUGAGACUCUUGACAAUCUAAGUGAAAAGAGAUGCCUGUGACAAGAAGUCCAUCUCCUGAGGAUAAUGAAAGAAUACUGCUUUUUUAGAAUCGCUAAGAUCAUGGAGAAAGAAUCCAGUCCUGGGACAAUAAGACUUGUUAGGUGAGGCUGCUAUUUGAAUUUAUGUCCUGGGCUUAGGUCUUCUCAUAAAUUUGUUCAAAGAUAUAGAUCAUUGAUCUACUUCAGUUUUACAAGGUUCAUUUUAAUUAAGAGUUUCUAAUAAAAGAAAUAUGCCUCUUGUUAAGACAAGCCUCUGUAAGCUAGGGAUAAAAUAUACCAUAAAUACUACACGGCUGCACUGGUGCAAAGUUACAUGCAAUGCAGGGUUUUAAAAAUUCAAGUGCAUAUUACAAGAUCUGCCGUUUGAUCAGUAAAGCCAACACUACCCAUUAAAAGUGUGCUGAAAACGAAUACAACAAUGCUAUUUCAUUAGGCAUCUACUUAACUUAUUUUUAGAUUCACUUUUAAGAAAGCUACCUCAAAUACUCUUUUAAAAUUCUAUGUGCUUUUCUUCUGGUUUUCACAAAACUGUUUCCCGGUGGUAAGGUAAAGGCAUUACACAGCAAAAAAAAAAAAAAAUCAGCAAGCUAUAUUAAACCUGAAAACUAAGUCUUUCCCCCAUAAAACAAGACAUUUUCUGAUAUAGAAUUUCAAAACUGAUUAAGCUUAUAUUUGGAACAACAGAAAGAUAUAAAAUAUUUUU